GCGCUCACUUUGGCAGCAUUUCUGCUAAAAUUAGAACUAUACCGGUAAGGUGAGCAUGGCCCCUGUGCAAAGAUGACACACAAAUUCAUGAGCAUUCCAUAUUUUC
rnacentral:snRNA from 1 species